UGAGGAAUAUUGGACCAUGGGCGCAAGCCUGAUCCAGCCAUACCGCGUGCAGGAAGAAGCCUCGAUGGUGUGUAAACUGCUUUUGUACAGGAAGAAACACUCCUUCGUGAAGGAGCUUGACGGUACCGUAAGAAUAAGUAUCGGCUAACUCCGUGCCAGCAGCCGCGGUAAUACGGAGGAUCCAAGCGUUAUCCGGAAUCACUGGGUUUAAAGGGUCCGUAGGCGUGUUAGUAAGUCAGUGGUGAAAGCCCAUCGCUCAACGAUGGAACGGCCAUUGAUACUGCUAGACUUGAAUUAUUAGGAAGUAACUAGAAUAUGUAGUGUAGCGGUGAAAUGAUUAGAUAUUACAUGGAAUACCAAUUGCGAAGGCAGGUUACUACUAAUGGAUUGACGCUGAUGGACGAAAGCGUGGGGAGCGAACA
rnacentral:rRNA from 1 species